GAUGAACGCUGGCGGCGUGCCUAAUACAUGCAAGUCGAGCGAAUUGACAGAGGUGCUUGCACCUCUCGAUUUUAGCGGCGGACGGGUGAGUAACACGUGGGUAACCUACCUAUAAGACUGGGAUAACUUCGGGAAACCGGAGCUAAUACCGGAUAAUAUUUAGCUUCGCAUGAAGCAAUAGUGAAAGACGGUUCUGCUGUCACUUAUAGAUGGACCUGCGGUGUAUUAGCUAGUUGGUGAGGUAACGGCUCACCAAGGCAACGAUACAUAGCCUACCUGGGAGGGUGAUCGGCCACACUGGGACUGCGACACGGCCCAGACUCCUACGGGAGGCAGCAGUAGGGAAUCUUCCGCAAUGGACGAAAGUCUGACGGAGCAACGCCGCGUGAGUGAAGAAGGUUUUCGGAUCGUAAAACUCUGUUGUAAGGGAAGAACAAGUACGUUAGUAACUGAACGUACCUUGACGGUACCUUACCAGAAAGCCACGGCUAACUACGUGCCAGCCGCCGCAGUAAGAC
rnacentral:rRNA from 1 species